rnacentral:lncRNA from 1 species
AGACAGCUACAGUGUACUCACGAUACAGUGUACUCACAUAGGUAAAAUAAAUAAAAAAUCUUACCAUAUGCCCUACAGGCUACAGGAGCCUUGGGUGAUCCUAUGAUUCUGCAGAGGGCUCUGGUCUUUAGAGUCUAAGGAUCUGUCUUACCUCUGGGAUUCAUUAGCUUGAGACUUGUAUAACCCAACUGUCUGGGCAUCAGUGUUCCCAUAUAUGAAACAAAAGGCCAACACAUCUUCAAGUUCUUUCCUAAUUUUAUCCUGGGUGUGAUAUUGUUUGAUGAUCUUGCUUGUUUAUCCUUGGGGCCAGUUUACCCCAACAAUGAGCUAAUUCUUUCCUCCCCUUAGGCCCACAGUGCAUGUUCUGAGGAGCAGCCCUGGAAGCUACUGCGAUAAUGGAACAGUGGAGUAGAUAGUCCAUUAUAACUCAUCUGUGAUUCUUCUCAAAUUUAAGUGACUACAGAUGUUUCCCAGUCUCCUUGCUGUGCAUGAACAGACUGAAACUGAAUCCAGAAAAGUGAAGUGACGUGUAUUGAGUCACACAGCUCUCGCCACAAUGGAACUUCAGGCACAUAACCCAAGUCCUGCUGAGCUGUCCUGUAGUGCUGUCACUCCACAGCACAUGGUCAUUCGGAGUAAACUGAGAUAUUUUUACUGAGACAGGAAUUUUGCCAGCCAUUCAUGGGGAAUCAGGAAGAGGUAAUAACUCUUUAUACUCAAAAUGUGGCCCAUUUGAAGAACCACAGAUCCCUUUGCCCUGAUGUCCCAUCCCAGUUAAUGGAUCUACCUUGUAAUUCUCAAACUCAAUAAAACCAGAAAGUUGCUUC